GAUGAAGAACGUAGCGAAAUGCGAAAAGUAAUGUGAAUUGCAGAAUUCAGUGAAUCAUCGAAUCUUUGAACGCACAUUGCGCCCGCUGGUACUCCGGCGGGCACGCCUGUCCGAGCGUCAUUUCAACCCUCAAGCCCUCCUUCGGGAUGGGCCUGGUGUUGGGGCUCGGCCGCCAUCUCCGGCGGCCGUCCCCUAAAUACAGUGGCGGUCACGUCGCGACUCCUUUGCGUAGUAGAAACACCUCGCUCCGGAUAGCAACGCGGUCCACGCCGUAAAACCCCCAAUUUUCAAUGGUUGACCUCGGAUCAGGUGGGAAUACCCGCUGAACUUAAGCAUAUCAAAAGCGGAGGA
rnacentral:misc_RNA from 1 species